GCAGCAAACUGGGCAGCCGAAAACAUUGUUCAAUCCUGUUGAGCAGCGGGCUCAGCGUUUUUUGCCGUGUAAUAAUUAAAAACAAGAUGGCGGAAUACUGAAGAGACUGUGUUACAGCGAAAUCGAUUUAUUUUACCGCCAACUUUAAAAAUUUUUUUAUUUGUAUACAACAUGAUUUAAAUCAAUUUUACAAAGAAAUUUCUUUAGUUCAUUCAUUCGGUUUUGCACUGAUGCACUAAAGCAGGAAAUGCAACGACAAUGCAAAUUAUUGUCAACUCUUCUGGUUCGCUAUGCUUGUAAAUGAAUACAGACUAUAGAGAUUCAAUUCAAGAAAUAUUGAUAACAUUUCAAUGCAGGUUUCUGUGGUCCUGACCAUUGGAAUGUAGCCUUUAGGCCUGUGCAGAACGUAUGCGAAGAACAGACUUUAUAGCAUCUUUACUUCUAUGUCUUUACUGUCGAUGCAAUGGAAGUAGUGAUGGGCGAUACCGAGUACUCGGUAUUCGAUACCAGCGAUACCACAAAUAGCGGUAUCGGUAUCGAUUACCGACGUGGUAUCGUCCAAUACUUGCACCCUUUUUUAGACGAUUUGUUUAAUUUUACUUCUUGGUUGAAUAAGACUUAAUUAACCACUAAAAUAACUCUUAAUAUUCCAAAUAUGGUGCGCCAAGUCAUGUAUAGAAAAUAUUUAUUACGCAUGGGGCUUUUGGUUUUCUUAUAGCUUUAUUUAGGUUACAUACAGUAAUGUAAAAUGUUUUUCCGCUGAACGGUAGGUAUCGAAAGUAGCCGAUACUGGCAAUU
rnacentral:lncRNA from 1 species